GAAUAUGAACUACAGCGUUUUCAGUCGUUUUCACUGGAUCCGUGUGGACGCAAAUAUUCUUCAAACGAUGACGAGGAAGACGGAGAAAAAAAAACAAAGAACUGUAGACUUACUAACAGAGACCCAAAAUAGAGAAGAAGAAAGAAGCCCGGCCAUCACUAACAUCCGGACAACUAAGCUCCAGUCGGCAGGUCACCUCUGGAUCACUGCUGCAGUCCGGCUGAUCGACAGCAGUGAGGAUUAAAUCUCUGAGCUCUCCUCCCGUCGGUAAAUAUCUCCGGAUCAGAACAGAACCAG